rnacentral:rRNA from 1 species
CAGCCGCCGCGGUAAUACGAGGGGGGCAAGCGUUGUUCGGAAUUAUUGGGCGUAAAGGGUGCGUAGGCGGUUUGACAAGUCUUAUGUGAAAUCUCUGGGCUCAACCCAGAGUCUGCAUGGGAAACUGUCGGGCUUGAGUAUGGGAGAGGUGAGUGGAAUUUCCGGUGUAGCGGUGAAAUGCGUAGAUAUCGGAAGGAACACCUGUGGCGAAAGCGGCUCACUGGACCAUUACUGACGCUGAUGCACGAAAGCUAGGGGAGCAAACAGGAUUAGAUACCCCAGUAGUCCCUGUCUCUUAUAC